rnacentral:rRNA from 1 species
CAGUAGCCGCGGUAAUACGUAGGGUGCGAGCGUUAAUCGGAAUUACUGGGCGUAAAGCGGGCGCAGACGGUUACUUAAGCAGGAUGUGAAAUCCCCGGGCUCAACCUGGGAACUGCGUUCUGAACUGGGUGACUAGAGUGUGUCAGAGGGAGGUAGAAUUCCACGUGUAGCAGUGAAAUGCGUAGAGAUGUGGAGGAACACCGAUGGCGAAGGCAGCCCUCUGGGCCAAUACUGACGCUCAUGCACGAAAGCGUGGGGAGCAAACAGGAUUAGAUACCCGCGUAGUCCCUGUCUCUUAUAC